rnacentral:rRNA from 1 species
GUGCCAGCCGCCGCGGUAAUACGGAGGGUGCAAGCGUUGUCCGGAUUUAUUGGGUUUAAAGGGUGCGUAGGCGGCCCAUUAAGUCAGCGGUGAAAGCCCGGGGCUCAACCCCGGAACCGCCGUUGAUACUGGUGGGCUUGAGUACAGACGAGGUUGGCGGAAUUGAGGGUGUAGCGGUGAAAUGCUUAGAUACCCUCAAGAACACCGAUUGCGUAGGCAGCUAACUAGGCUGUAACUGACGCUGAGGCACGAAAGCGUGGGGAGCGAACAGGAUUAGAAACCCGGGUAGUCC